UCAAGGUUACCAGAGGAUGAGGACCCUGAUGUUCCAUUUCCUGGGUUCCCUGCUGCCUCACAGAUGACCUUCACCACCGCUCCUGGAAGUGAUUCAUUGCUUUGCGCUGGACAUCUCUACACUCAUCAGAGGCCUGUUAAACAAGUCGCACAGAAGCUGCAGUGCCUGCUAGAUUUGCUCAAGGUAUAUGCGUUGCUGUGAGGUUUCUGUGACUGUCUUUGGCCGCAUCCC